ensembl:snRNA U6 U6 spliceosomal RNA
GUGCUCACUUCAGCAACACAUAUACCAAAAUUGAAAUGAUACAGAGAUUAGUGCAGCCCCUGCGCAAGGAUGACACACAAAUUCGCGAAGCGCUUCAUAUUAAA